ACGUACCUUUGAAUAAUGUUUACCAUUUGUUGAUAAUUUUCUUGUGGUUUUCUCAUUGAGUCAAAGAUUAUCAACCGGUUUUUGAGAAUUUCAAUGACCAUGAGUAUCCAGUGAAAGCUGUUUACACACAUAUAUAUAGUCAGACCUAUAUAUAACUAUAUAAAACUUGUCUCGAGUAAUAAUAAGUAAAAUAAAAUAUGCAUGCACUUAAUAACUAUAUAACUCACUCGAAGUUGAAGGGGAAGAGUAUUUUGUGUUUUUCUUUUUGGUUCACAAAGAACCUCAUAAGAUUGGUGCAGACUUCUGUCUCAUGAGCUGCUGUCCACAC
rnacentral:lncRNA from 1 species